rnacentral:lncRNA from 1 species
GACCGAGCUAGAAUUGGAAUCUUGGCCAGGUAAUUCCAGAUGUUUCACUCUUAACCAUUCUAUAGAAUCAGCACCCAUCUUUGAGUCAGAGUUUGAGAUGCAAAUCCUUUACUGUAUAGCCUUGAUCAAAUGACUUCACCUCAUUGAAUUAAUCUUCUUCUGCAUAAAAUGGGGUCACCAUCUGCUUAUCUAAAUUGUUACAAAUGGGACAGUAUAUGUGCCAUUCCAGAUACCUAAUCACAGCUCAAUCGAUGCUGGUGUCUUUUUCCUUUUUCCUUCUGCAGAAAACAUGCUUUACAUAGGAUCUCUGAACUUAAAGAAUGGGAAGAAGAAAAAUCAUGUUUCCAGCUUGGGCUGCUGUUUCAUCUGUUGGACUUGCUUAAAGCGUAUGGGUUUGUUUACCCUUCCUGCAGGCAUCCAACCUGGCCUUUUAUUCCUGCUCAAGUAGGACAUGCAGCCUGCUGGGGACCCGUGGCUCAAAUCCUCCAACUGCAGGACUGCCGGCCCUGGGACUCAUGAAUAAUGGAAGUGCAGUAACCACUCCUUACAGCCCAGACGACUUUCCAGGAGCAGGCUGUACCCCGAAAGUAAACAAGGAACAAGGGGCAAGGAGACAGAGAGAGAUGGGGAAAUGAUCCCUGAAUGGAAAGGAAUGCUAUGCACACUUUUUGGAUACAGGAAGUGAGAUUCAGAGGGGUUAAACAGCUUUCCUAAAGCCACACAGCGAGAGAGUCGAUCUGAACUGAAGAUUGUUUGACAUCAAAGCUCAUUUCUUUCCCUAAAUGUCAGCAUUCUUUCCUGACUUAUUAAUUUGAUUUCUGUCCUCCCCUCAUGGAAGUUAAUUAAAGGAAUGCGAG